UACGGGGGGAGCAAGCGUUGUUCGGAUUUACUGGGCGUAAAGGGCGCGUAGGCGGCACCGCAAGUCGACUGUGAAAUCUCCGGGCUUAACUCGGAAAGGUCAGCCGAUACUGCGGGGCUAGAGUGCAGAAGGGGCAACUGGAAUUCUCGGUGUAGCGGUGAAAUGCGUAGAUAUCGGGAGGAACACCAGUGGCGAAGGCGGCGAUCUGGGAAGAGUACUGACGCUGAGGUGCGAAAGCGUGGGGAGCAAACAGGG
rnacentral:rRNA from 1 species